UAAAAAAAAAAAAAAAAAAAACGUGUUGGGUUUUGAAUUUUGAGUGUUAUUUCUAGAGGAAAUUAGACUAGGCACGGUGCAAACCCAUUUUAUUCUCAACGACACGGCAGACUUUGUUUGAUUGCAAAAUUACGACCCAAACUGAUUUUUUUAAAUUUUUUAUCUUUUAAUUUUUUGUUUAUACUCUGCAAUAACAUAAAAAAUACAUCCCACUUGGAUUUAAUCUGAUCAGCUCACCACCGCCACCAACUCCAACUCCCGUUAGCUCUCCACCACCAGCUCCAGUUCCGGUUAUUUGAGUCUGAUUUGAUUAUUACGAUGUCGCCGUUGCCGCUCUCUUAAUGACGUCGUGGUUGCGCCGCUACUUAAUGGCAGAAAUUAGGGAUUCUGAUGAUGUCGUUGUCGGAACUGAAAAUGGCAACUCCGACAAUGAGGACGCUUAUUAACUGUGCUAGGUUAUCAAAGGAUGUUGAAUGGUUUGAGAAGAUGCCAAGUUUUCUAUUAAUUGCCUGAAGAUGCCAAGUUUUGUCCUUGAAAGGAAUUAAGGAUGCAGGAUAUGAGAAAUUGAUUGUUGUUCAGGAGGCCACUCUUCCCCUUAUACUAAAAGGAGAAAUUGAUCCUCAUACUCAUCUAGAAAUGGAUUUUAUGGGUAUUUGAACCGUUGAUGACUUCUUUACUGGUCAGGUUGCAGCUUUAGCAGGUGGAACAACAAUGCAUGCAUAUUGACUUUGCUAAACCAGCCAAUGGAAGUUUAAUGGUUGGUUUGGAAACUUAUAAGAAGGCAAAGAAGGCUUACAUAGAUUAUGUAUUUCAUAUUGCAAUUAUCAAAUGGGAUGAAGCUGUUUCACAGGAAACGGAAAUUAUAAUGAAGGAAAAAUGUCAUUCACUCGGUUAAAUUACAAUUCACAUUAUCAAGAUCUGGUUUGAAUGAAUUUGAAUUUCAAGGAAUGAAAAGAUUGAAUCUCUAUAUCACCAUUUUUAAGCGUUGGCGGGUUUCCUUGAAACACACUCAUUUCCUUUUCAUCCAAGAAACUCUUGUAAUACUUACUUUAUAUGUAAUUAUGUCAAUUAAAUGUUAUGGUUUAUGCUUGUUUCUAUCACGAUAUGUAAUUUUAAAA